rnacentral:rRNA from 1 species
GUCCAGACUCCUACGGGAGGCAGCAGUGGGGAAUAUUGCACAAUGGGGGAAACCCUGAUGCAGCGACGCCGCGUGAGCGAUGAAGUAUUUCGGUAUGUAAAGCUCUCUCAGCAGGGAAGAAAAUGACGGUACCUGACUAAGAAGCCCCGGCUAACUACGUGCCAGCAGCCGCGGUAAUACGUAGGGGGCAAGCGUUAUCCGGAUUUACUGGGUGUAAAGGGAGCGUAGACGGCUGUGCAAGCCAGAUGUGAAAGCCCGGGGCUCAACCCCGGGACUGCAUUUGGAACUGUGUGGCUGGAGUGUCGGAGAGGCAGGCGGAAUUCCUAGUGUAGCGGUGAAAUGCGUAGAUAUUAGGAGGAACACCAGUGGCGAAGGCGGCCUGCUGGACGAUGACUGACGUUGAGGCUCGAAAGCGUGGGGAGCAAACAGGAUUAGAUACCCGAGUAUA